CGGCCCAGACUCCUACGGGAGGCAGCAGUAGGGAAUCUUCCGCAAUGGACGAAAGUCUGACGGAGCAACGCCGCGUGAGUGAUGAAGGCUUUCGGGUCGUAAAACUCUGUUGUUAGGGAAGAACAAGUACGAGAGUAACUGCUCGUACCUUGACGGUACCUAACCAGAAAGCCACGGCUAACUACGUGCCAGCAGCCGCGGUAAUACGUAGGUGGCAAGCGUUAUCCGGAAUUAUUGGGCGUAAAGCGCGCGCAGGCGGUUUCUUAAGUCUGAUGUGAAAGCCCACGGCUCAACCGUGGAGGGUCAUUGGAAACUGGGGAACUUGAGUGCAGAAGAGAAAAGCGGAAUUCCACGUGUAGCGGUGAAAUGCGUAGAGAUGU
rnacentral:rRNA from 1 species